GGGAGACUCAGGGCAGUUAAGUGAUUUGCUCCAAUUCUACAGCUACUUGGUGUCAGAACCAACAGGAUGCAAUCAAAGUCAGGAAAUACAUCUGCCUUCUGACAAAGGUAAUAGCAGAAUGUUCCAUAGUGUGGUGGAUAGCAUGCUGACCUCUGGAAACAGACAUGACAGCAACCUUCACUCCUGGGGUGCUAUUAGCGGGGGAAGCCAACAGAACGGACUUGGCCAUCAGAGCAACUGACCAUGACUGGAACGUCAAAGAGUGUGUAUCAAAGGGAAUAUCUCUGUCUAUAAGCUGAUUGCACCAGGUGCCCUAUAGCGACAGGAAGCUAACGUGACCAUCAGAGCAUCUAGGUCCUCCUCCACCCCAGGAAAUGGACCCAAGACAGUUCACACAGAUCUCAAAGAGGGACCCUGGCAGUGACAGACUACACAUCCUCAUCUAGGGAAACUGAGACCAAGGAAGUAGAAAUGUGAAGGCUGACAGAAUUGAGCGACUACCCCCACCUGGAGUCAAGGGACCAAAAAACAUUUCCACGAAAGAAGGGGCUUGACUAAAACACAGAAGAAACCAAUCGUGUGCAUGGCAGCAGUGGUGACGUGCGUCCUGAAGGGUCUGUCUCUUCCUGAGUGCUUGUGUCAGAUACAUGUCUUGUUACUGUGACAAAAUACCCAACAAAAAGCAUCUGAAAGAAGGAAGAAUUUGAUUGACUCCAGGUCUGAGGGUCCACACCAUCGUGGCCCUGGAAACAGGGCAACUGUCAUCCUUCUUUACCGUAACCCACCCCCGACCCCAGCCUCGAGCUUCCGUGUCCCACAGCUACUGAUUCUCCUUAUAACCCGCUCUCUCUACUAUGCUCAUUCUUGUCUACAGGCACACUAUCCUGAAUACACCCAAUCUCGUCCACUCUGCCUCUCUCUCUCUCUCUCUCUCUCUCUCUCUCUCUCUCUCUC